rnacentral:rRNA from 1 species
UACGAAGGGGGCUAGCGUUGCUCGGAAUUACUGGGCGUAAAGCGCACGUAGGAGGAUCUUUAAGUCAGGGGUGAAAUCCUGGAGCUCAACUCCAGAACUGCCUUUGAUACUGAGGGUCUUGAGUUCGGGAGAGGUGAGUGGAACUGCGAGUGUAGAGGUGAAAUUCGUAGAUAUUCGCAAGAACACCAGUGGCGAAGGCGGCUCACUGGCCCGGAACUGACGCUGAGGUGCGAAAGCGUGGGGAGCAAACAGG